rnacentral:rRNA from 1 species
AGAGUUUGAUCAUGGCUCAGGAUGAACGCUGGCGGCGUGCCUAACACAUGCAAGUCGAGCGAUCUUCUUCGGAAGAGAGCGGCGGACGGGUGAGUAACGCGUGGGUAACCUACCUCAUACACAUGGAUAACAUACCGAAAGGUAUACUAAUACAAGAUGAUAUAAGAGAUUCGCAUGGAUUUCUUAUCAAAGCUCCGGCGGCAUGAGAUGGACCCGCGUCUGAUUAGCUAGUUGGUAAGGUAACGGCUUACCAAGGCGACGAUCAGUAGCCGACCUGAGAGGGUGAUCGGCCACAUUGGAACUGAGACACGGUCCAAACUCCUACGGGAGGCAGCAGUGGGGAAUAUUGCACAAUGGGCGAAAGCCUGAUGCAGCAACGCCGCGUGAGCGAUGAAGGCCUUCGGGUCGUAAAGCUCUGUCCUCAAGGAAGAUAAUGACGGUACUUGAGGAGGAAGCCCCGGCUAACUACGUGCCAGCAGCCGCGGUAAUACGUAGGGGGCUAGCGUUAUCCGGAUUUACUGGGCGUAAAGGGUGCGUAGGUGGUUUCUUAAGUCAGGAGUGAAAGGCUACGGCUCAACCGUAGUAAGCUCUUGAAACUGGGAAACUUGAGUGCAGGAGAGGAAAGUGGAAUUCCUAGUGUAGCGGUGAAAUGCGUAGAUAUUAGGAGGAACACCAGUAGCGAAGGCGGCUUUCUGGACUGUAACUGACACUGAGGCACGAAAGCGUGGGGAGCAAACAGGAUUAGAUACCCUGGUAGUCCACGCCGUAAACGAUGAGUACUAGGUGUCGGGGGUUACCCCCCUCGGUGCCGCAGCUAACGCAUUAAGUACUCCGCCUGGGGAGUA